GCGAACGGGUGAGUAACACGUGGGUGAUCUGCCUCGUACUCUGGGAUAAGCCUGGGAAACUGGGUCUAAUACUGGAUAGGACCAUGCUUUAGUGUGUCAUGGUGGAAAGUUGUUUCGGUACGGGAUGAGCCUGCGGCCUAUCAGCUUGUUGGUGGGGUAAUGGCCUACCAAGGCGUCGACGGGUAGCCGGCCUGAGAGGGUGUACGGCCACAUUGGGACUGAGAUACGGCCCAGACUCCUACGGGAGGCAGCAGUGGGGAAUAUUGCACAAUGGGCGCAAGCCUGAUGCAGCGACGCCGCGUGGGGGAUGAAGGCCUUCGGGUUGUAAACCUCUUUCGGCAGGGACGAAGCGUGUUUGUGACGGUACCUGUAGAAGAAGCACCGGCUAACUACGUGCCAGCAGCCGCGGUAAUACGUAGGGUGCGAGCGUUGUCCGGAAUUACUGGGCGUAAAGAGCUCGUAGGUGGUUUGUCGCGUCGUCUGUGAAAUUCCGGGGCUUAACUC
rnacentral:rRNA from 1 species